rnacentral:rRNA from 1 species
CUUUGCAAUAACAACUUACUAUAAUGCAAGUCGAGCGGACCGACGUGGAGCUUGCUCCCUUAGGUUAGCGGCGGACGGGUGAGUAACACGUGGGUAACCUGCCUGUAAGACUGGGAUAACUCCGGGAAACCGGGGCUAAUACCGGAUGCUUGAUUGAACCGCAUGGUUCAAUUAUAAAAGGUGGCUUUUAGCUACCACUUACAGAUGGACCCGCGGCGCAUUACCUAGUUGGUGAGGUAACGGCUCACCAAGGCAACGAUGCGUAGCCGACCUGAGAGGGUGAUCGGCCACACUGGGACUGAAACACGGCCCAGACUCCUACGGGAGGCAGCAGUAGGGAAUCUUCCGCAAUGGACGAAAGUCUGACGGAGCAACGCCGCGUGAGUGAUGAAGGUUUUCGGAUCGUAAAACUCUGUUGUUAGGGAAGAACAAGUACCGUUCGAAUAGGGCGGUACCUUGACGGUACCUAACCAGAAAGCCACGGCUAACUACGUGCCAGCAGCCGCGGUAAUACGUAGGUGGCAAGCGUUGUCCGGAAUUAUUGGGCGUAAAGCGCGCGCAGGCGGUUUCUUAAGUCUGAUGUGAAAGCCCCCGGCUCAACCGGGGAGGGUCAUUGGAAACUGGGGAACUUGAGUGCAAAAAAGGAGAGUGGAAUUCCACGUGUACCGGUGAAAUGCGUAGAGAUGUGGAGGAACACCAGUGGCGAAGGCGACUCUCUGGUCUGUAACUGACGCUGAGGCGCGAAAGCGUGGGGAGCGAACAGGAUUAGAUACCCUGGUAGUCCACGCCGUAAACGAUGAGUGCUAAGUGUUAGAGGGUUUCCGCCCUUUAGUGCUGCAGCAAACGCAUUAAGCACUCCGCCUGGAGGAGUACGGUCGCAAGACUGAAACACAAAGGAAAUGACGGGGGCCCCGCACAAGCGGUUGGAGCAUGUGGUUUAAUACAAAGCUACGCGAAGAAACCUUAACCAGGUCUUGGACAUCCUCUGACAACCCUACAGUAUAGGGCUUUCCCCUUUCGGGGCGAGAGUGACAGGUGUGCAUGGUUUUCGUUCAGCUUCACGUCAUGAGAAGUUUGAUUGAGUCCAGCACCGAUCCCAACCCUCU